rnacentral:lncRNA from 1 species
GGGUGAGAAGGUGACUAGCAUGGCCUGGCUGGAGAACUUCCCACUGGUUCCAGUCCGGACACGAGGCUUUGAGUCACAGACACACAGACAGGAUGUGGGGCUCGACCAGGGCUGCAACACUAAGCCUCCAGCAGUCUGCGGAUGGAGAGCGGAGUGGGGCACUGGCGUAUGUGGAGUGGAUCUGCUAGUUUAAGGAGAGCUCCGUGAGUAUCAGCUUUCUGAGGGAGAACUGAAAGCCUUCAAAAUGGAUGAAGGAAAUGUUUAUUUCUCUGCACCUGUCGGUUUUUCACACCGUGGAAGCUGUGGAUAACAUCAGUGAACGAACCCAUUUGCCGUCUGUGGCUGGAAGCCCGACGUUCUGUGGAAGCUGGAAUUACUUGGGUGCGGCAGUGGUUUGGAGCCCUGCUUCGGACGUGUACUACAACUUUUCAGUCUCAGAGCCUCGGAGUGAGAAAAUUCACAGGACUUCCUCUCCGGUGCAGCUGCCACGCACUCCUUGCCAUGGCACCUUGUGGACGCCUUCCUUUGUGCCUUUCUGCGCUUCUGUCCGCGGUAUCACACCAGUGACGCUGUGCGGUGUGCCUCACCGUUUCCUGGUACUCGCCCCUGAGGAGUUGCGCUGUGAGCUGAGGACCCGCGGGCCCCCGCCGCACUCUCCUGCGCAGGUUGCUGCUGUCGAUGCAGCCGUGGAUCUCCAGGAUCUCCAGGCCGAAAGCUCUCUGCUGUCAUCGCUGCACUCGCCCUGAGCCCUGGCUUCCUCCUCUGCAAACCCUCAGCCUUAGAGUCGCUGACAGGCCCAGCACACCGCCUGUAUUUUUCUGAGUGUCUUAAAUUUCAGCCUUCCACAUUUCUCAGAAACCCCAUCCUCCAUGUAGUCUAAGUGCACGGGGGUCAUUAUAUUACUCUUUUGGAGUAAUUCUGACGUCCAAACAAAGUUGGAAGACUUUGCUUACAACUUUCCUAGUGCUAUUUUUUUUUUUUUUCUAUCUUUAGUGUAGAUGAUGCAUUUUGACAAGUCCUUGACAGUGAAAUCUGAUUUUGCUGGCCUAGAAAAUACACAAAAAUUUGUAACUUGUCAAGACUUGAAUUUCUCUAUCACUGUGCUAUCUUUCAUCUGAGACGCUUGUGCAUUAACGCCUUUAAAAACUAUAAGCUGGGAAUGAGACGCUGAUGUUGCCUGCGGAAUUUUACGCUGUUAUUUAUUUUAUUUAUUUAUUUAUUUAUUUAUUUUUUUGUUUUGUUUUUUGGUUUUUCUCCGGUACCGGGAACCGAACUCACGACCUUGCGCUUGCCAGGCAGGCGCUUU